rnacentral:rRNA from 1 species
GACGAACGCUGGCGGCGUGCUUAACACAUGCAAGUCGAACGCUGAAGCUCAGCUUUUGUUGGGUGGAUGAGUGGCGAACGGGUGAGUAACACGUGAGUAACCUGCCCCCUUCUUUGGGAUAACGCCCGGAAACGGGUGCUAAUACUGGAUAUUCACUGGUCUUCGCAUGGGGGUUGGUGGAAAGGGUUUUUCUGGUGGGGGAUGGGCUCGCGGCCUAUCAGCUUGUUGGUGGGGUGAUGGCCUACCAAGGCUUUGACGGGUAGCCGGCCUGAGAGGGUGACCGGUCACAUUGGGACGGAGAUACGGCCCAGACUCGUACGGGAGGCAGCAGUGGGGAAUAUUGCACAAUGGGGGCAAGCCUGAUGCAGCGACGCCGCGUGAGGGAUGGAGGCCUUCGGGUUGUGAACCUCUUUCGCUAAUGGUCAAGCCGCAACAAUGGUUGUGGUGAGGGUAGUGGGUAAAGAAGCGCCGGCUAACUACGUG